UUUACCUCCACACAGUUGUCACACACAGAGCAGUGUGAACAGCCGGGCGGUCUGUAGAAGUACAGGUCUGUGUGUAUGUAUGUAUUUACCUCCACACAGUUGUCACACACAGAGCAGUGUGAACAGCGUGGCGGUCUGUAGAAGUACAGGUCUGUGUGUAUGUAUGUAUUUACCUCCACACAGUUGUCACACACAGAGCAGUGUGAACAGCGUGGCGGUCUGUAGAAGUACAGGUCUGUGUGUGUGUGUGUAUUUACCUCCACACAGUUGUCACACACAGAGCAGUGUGAACAGCGGGGCGGUCUGUAGAAGUACAGGUCUGUGUCUGUGUGUGUGUGUGUAUUUACCUCCACACAGUUGUCACACACAGAGCAGUGUGAACAGCGGGGCGGUCUGUAGAAGUACAGGUCUGUGUGUGUGUGUCUGUGUGUGUGUGUGUAUUUACCUCCACACAGUUGUCACACACAGAGCAGUGUGAACAGCGGGGCGGUCUGUAGAAGUACAGGUCUGUGUGUGUGUGUGUAUUUACCUCCACACA